UCUUUGUUAGUGUAUCGGUUAGUACACGCGCCUGUUACGCGCGAAAGCGGGGUUCGACUCACCCACAGAGAG